AAAUCUGUAUUAGGCUGAUACAAACAUAAUUGUGGAUUUUGCAAUUACUUUUAAUGGCAAAAACUUCAAUUACUUUUGCACCAACCUAAUAGAUUU
rnacentral:miRNA from 1 species